CUCCUCCUCCUUCACUUCACUCCACACUCCUCAUUCCCUCCUACUCCUACCUCAUCCACACUACCAUCCUUUAAACUCCACAUCCACAUUUAAGAACUACAACCAAAUCAAUCACGCCACACUCAGUUCCUACUCUUCCACACCUCCAUUCACUCCCCUGCUGCAAUCCUUCACUCCUUCCUUCUUGCCUGGUGCGCCUCUCCCCGCCCCGCCCCGCCCCGCCCCGCCUCGCCCCGCCCCAUGAUGGAUGAAAGGGAGGAUCUAGCAGUAGAGGACAUGAGUGGUAAUUGUUAGUCUGUCCCGUAAUGGUUCGCUCGUACAACGCAGUGGAGUGUUAUCUGGUCCGCUACAUAAGGAGGAGGAAGAGGAGGGAGAGGAGGAGGAGGAGGAAGAGGAGGGGGAGGAGAUAGAUAAGCAGGAAGAGGAGUGGAAUGAGGAUAAGUAGGAGUAGGAAGAGGAGAGACUUGAGAGGAAGAGGGAGAUAGAGAUGAGGAUAAGUAGGAGGAGGAGGAGAAGGAGGAGGAUAGAGUAAGAGGAAGAGGAAGAUAAGAAGAUACGUAGAAAGAGUACAGAGAGACGGAGGAAGGAUUUAAGAGGAAGAGGGAGAUAGGGAUGAAGAUAAGUAGUAGGAGGAGGAGGAGGAUAGACUAAGAGGAAGAGGAUGCGUAGAAGGACAAAGAGGAGGAAGAAGGAUUUGAGAAGAAUAGGAUAGGGAUGAGGGUAUGUUAGAGGAGAAGAGGACGAAAAAGAAGAGGAAGAGUAAGAAGAAGAAGAACACAAUACCGAAGAUGGGAGGAGGAAGAAAAAUGAAGAAGUAAUAAUAGAUGAAGAGGAAAAGAAAGAAGAACAAGGACAAAGAGAAAGAUGAGAAUCACACAAGAGGAGCGACGCAAGAGACACACGAAUGAACAAGCACAGACAGACAGACAGACAAACAGGAAGAAAAUGAUGUGGAAGAGGAACAGAGGAUGUAUAUAGACAGAGUGAAGGAAGUUGAGACGAGACGAAAGGGAAAGGAGGAAGAAGGCUUGGGAGUUCCAGCUUCGCCCAGACUUCCUUGUUAGUCUCUGAAGGAGCUUUGAUCUUGUCACGCCCGAGCGCUCACUCACGCACCGCUUCACAUGACGUGGCGACAGCACAGUGUCUCCAGCAAACUUUACAAAGGCGACGUUGCGAGAAGUCAGCGCGUGUCAGCAGCAGAGCAAGUGAGCCAGUCAGCGAGUCAGCAGUGCGGAGAAGAGGUUACUUAAGGGCGGAAGAACAUGAUCAAACUUCCUUAAAGAGAAAAUUUGUCAGGUAAGACUCGCUAUUGAGGAAAAAGCUGAAUUGUCACUUCGGGAAAGAUGAAAAGUCAACAAAAUAGGAUCAAGAAUUGGAGCUUGUCCGUGCAGCUGACUCGUGUGCUUGACUUUUUGCGGUAAUUCAAAUGCAUCACUGUGGAAACUGUUCAGAGCGUAAGGUGUUGUGUGCGCGUGUUGGGAUUUUGUGUUGCAGCAUUUCCUGAUUUGUUGUCUCUCGUUGGGUAGUGAAAGCUUACAUAUUUAUUCAUCAUGUCGAGGAGAUGAUGCAUAAUAAAGGAACCUUCUUGC